rnacentral:tRNA from 1 species
GCCCGUAUGGCGCAGUGGUUAACGCAUCCCACUUGUACCUCCACUACGUAAUGGGAAGAUCCCUCGUUCGACUCGGGGUGCGGGCA